rnacentral:rRNA from 1 species
UACGGAGGGUGCGAGCGUUAAUCGGAAUUACUGGGCGUAAAGGGUGCGUAGGUGGUUCGUUAAGUUAUCUGUAAAAGCCCCGGGCUCAACCUGGGAAGGCCAGAUAAAACUGAUGAACUCGAGUAUAGGAGAGGGUAGUGGAAUUUCCGGUGUAGCGGUGAAAUGCGUAGAGAUCGGAAGGAACACCAGUGGCGAAGGCG